UAGAAUCCAGACCUCUUGACUCCUAGACUUGUACUUUAACCACAAACUCAUCCUUCUUCCCUUAAAUAUUCAAGAAGUUGAAAGCCACACAGCAUCAACAAGUCAAAGAUCUGAGCGAUGCUUGCCUUAGAUUUUAUAAAAUUCUGUGGCUCCAAAAUGGACUAGCAUUUCACAAACCUGAACUGACAAUAAAGAAAGAGACUGAAGACAUACAAAGAACGGUCUAUGUUUACAGCAUUAAAGGAUAUGUUCUUUGCUGUUGCGGUGCUGUGACUCAAAUCACUAAGGUGCUGAAAAGCCAAAGGAAUUCUCUUGCUGCAUGGGUCUGCACUUGCACCAAGAAAAUUAUUAUAUUGGAGUGUGUCACAUCAGUGUACUCACAGGCAGCAUCAAAUAGGGAGAAAAGGUCAUGCUGUAUCUGAUUCAAAACUGGUAGAAAAUAGUACCUUGAAGAUCCCCGCUGCGCUCAGCAGCAGAGGGCUGAGUAAUUAAACGGAACACAACAGCACUCUGACAUACAUUAAUUCCCCUGAUAGUUAUUUCUGUUGUUUGGUGCAGUACCAAAAGGACAGGAAGAACAGUGAUAAUUUUCUGUGGGAUUUUUAUUUUUCGUCUUAGUAGCAUAAUCUCAUUCUUUUUAAAGACACUUGAUGAAUUAACUUUGUAGGUAAAAGCCAGUGAAUUACAUUUCAUUUCUGCCUUGCAGAAUUAACAAUAAUUUUCCUCACGUUAGCCAGCCAGAAAAGUCUUCCUCAAUAUUGCCAUUGGGCAAUAUUGUCUCCAUAUCAUUUGCAGAAGUUGCAGAAUAGCUAAAAUAUAUCUGCUACCUAUGAUUUUCUUGAUGCCUCCUAUUACUUGUAUUGCAAUCGUGCCUAGGUGACCUGGCACAGGCUGCGUUCCUCUGGGCUGGCCAGUUCUUGACACAGAAACAUCCUUGUCCAAAGAAUUUGUGAGAAAUGGAAGAAGAGAGAGUGAAGAAGACCACUGAGACUUUCAGGCCCAGCUCCUCAGACUUUUCCUUACCAUGAAAUGACACCGCAGUGUUUUUCUCUGUUACCAUGGCAUUCUGCAAACAACUCCAGCAGACUAGCUAGAAAUGAAGUGGGCAAACCUCUAAAAGUUUGGCAGUUUGAAUAAACGUCUGUGAGGAUCUGGCUGGACUUGGGGACAGACUGUCCUUUGGAAAGAAACCACAGAAACUGGUAGAGACGCACCCCUUUCCUAUGGGCCUCUGCGGAGUCUGGAGGAAAGGGUAUGAGGCAAAUAAGAUCUAUAACCAGAACAGUUGAGAGAUGGGGGAGUGGCUGGAAAAAAGUGUCCCAUGGUGAGGGAUCUUGUACAGUGCAGAAAGGUAGAAGGGAUUAGAAAACAAAGAGAUGAAUGGAGGAGACCAGAGCAAGGUGCUCUCUAUUCCACAAAGAAGAGCAGGAUGCAUAUUAUAGAUCAUGUAUGAUCACAGUCAUGGGCGUCACAGGGAACCUCUUGGAAGGCUUCCAGGCCUGAGGUCUUGGAGGAGGGCAUGUUCUCCUGAAACAUAUUACCAGCUGCAAAAGAAGCAGGAACCACAGAGCUGUAAACUGAAGAUACUAAUAAUCUGCACUCUGGGCAGAAUUAUAGGAGUUCAUUUAGGAAACUACUGGGAGCAGAAAGAAGCAGAGUGAACCCUGCUAGACCAUUAAGUCAUAAAUAGCUGGAGCUGUCUGCCUUUCCCAAGGCUAUUCUUAUUUCUGUUCCUAAAGCUUCCUGUCACAGCUUACGUGAGAGUUUAAGUCAGCCUUUUGGGUUGGGAUGGGCAUUUUUUUCCUGAAUAAGCAGUACAUAUAAUAAUACGUAUAUUGCUUCAGGUAAUGCCUCCCUUUCCAGGAAGCAGUGCUGUUCAGAAGGGACACACAGUGAUCACAGGGAUGGCGAGGCCAUUGGCCAGCCUCCUCUCCUGGGUGACUUGACUGAAUGUGGCAGGGUGUUGGAUGCCUUGCAUCUGUGUGUUCCCGUUCUGAUGCUAUUAUGUACGCAUCCCAGGCUCAGCUGAGGCUGCCAGCAGGAAUAACCCAAAAUGCCACGACAAUGACUGUUUUGUUGGUUUUUAUGGAACUGAAUCCCAGGAGUACUGGAAAUCUUCAAAUACAGCUUUUUCCCAUAAAAAGAAACUUCCAGAUACAUGAGCUCUGAGUGUUUGUGAACAAGCAAUGUUUGGCUAGUAAGCUUGCUCUUUUGAUGUCUGCCACUUGUCAUCUGAUUUAUAAUAAAUAGGUAAUAAGUUGCUAAAUACCAUA